AUCACACGCUUCAGGAUGCGCAGACGGGGAAAAGGAGCUGGCGCGCUCGUGAGACUCAGAACACGCGGAUUUCGAACGCCGUUGCCUAGCAUCCAUCUGGCAAAUCUCCGCUCUCUACCCAACAAAACGGACAAACUCCUUCUGCUCUCCCGGACAAAUAAGGAUUUCUCACACUCUGCUGCUCUGUGUUUCACGGAAACUUGGCUAAACGACACCAUUCCAGACAGUGUGCUCCAUCUGGCGGGCUUUCAGCUGUUCAGAGCGGACCGUGACGCAGAAUCAACAGGGAAAUUGUGCGGCGGUGGGACAUGCUUUUACAUCAAAGAAAGGUGGAGUACAGAUGUAACAGUGUUAAAUAAGAUGUGUUGUUCAGAUCUAGAAACACUAUUCAUUAACUGCAAGCCGUUCUAUUCGGACUCUGUUUUAAUCAUUCUCAGGGACUUUAAUAAAGCCAAUCUCUCCUGUGAACUGCCAAAAUACAGACAGCACAUCACAUGUCCCACCAGAGACAGUAAGAUAUUGGACCACUGUUACACCACAAUAAAGGAUGCAUAUCACUCUGUUCCACGGGCAGCUUUGGGACGUUCUUAUCACUGUUUGGUUCUUUUUAUACCGACCUACAGGCGGAAACUAAAACCAGCUAAACCUGUAUUAAGGACUGUAAAAAGAUGGACCAAUGAAGCAGAGCAGGAUUUACAAUCUUGUUUUGACCUCACUGAUUACCUAGUGUUUGAAGCUGCUGCCACUGAUCUGGACGAGCUCGCAGAGACUGUAACAUCAUAUAUCAGUUUCUGUGAGGAUAUGUGUAUUCCUACCAGGACUCAUCUAACUUACAACAAUGACAAACUGUGGUUCACUGCAAAACUCAGACAGCUCCGUCAGGCCUAAGAAGAUGCUUACAGGAAGGGGGACAAUGUCUUCUAUAAACAGGCUAAAUACACACUGGAAAAGGAGAUCAAAGUGGCAAAGGGGAAUUAUUCUGGAAAAAUAAGGACUCAGUUCACUUUCAACGACUCAGCAUCAGUGUGGAAAAGUCUGAAAGAGAUCACCAACUACAAGACACCACCACCCAGCACUGUAGAGAAUCAACAACUGGCAGACGAUCUGAACGAGUUUUACGGGAGGUUUGAAAGAACACCCAUCACCUGCCCUGAACGCCUCUCCACACAACUGUUCACACCAUUCACAACUCUUGCAACCUGCCCUGAACACCUCUCCAAACAACCGUUCACACCAUUCACAACUCUUGCAACCCNN
ensembl:lncRNA